rnacentral:rRNA from 1 species
UACCUUAAGACAAAUAAUUUAAGGCAAGCCCUGCCCAGUGAGUAUACUCUUCAACGGCCGCGGUAUCCUAACCGUGCAAAGGUAGCAUAAUAACUUGCCUAUUAAUUAUAGGAUAGUAUGAAAGGGUAAACGAAAUAGGACCUGUCUCUCUUGGCCCAAUGAAAAUUAUUUUUUAACCGAAGAAAGUUAAAUCCAACUGAAGGACAAGAAGACCCUAUAGAGCUUCAUUUAAAUACUUACAAAAAAAACUUUAAAUUCAGUUGGGGCGACUAGUGCUCUACCAAUCAUCAAUGCCCAUAAGAUAAAUUUAUCUUAAAAAAGACCCUGACCCAGAUCAAGAAAACAAGCUACCUUAGGGAUAACAGGCUAAUCUCAUUUAUGAGUCCCUAUCUAUAAUGUUGGUUGGCACCUCGAUGUUGGCUUAGGGAAUCAAAGAGGCGCAGAAGCUUCUUAAGAUGGUUUGUUCAACCAUUAAACCCCUA